rnacentral:rRNA from 1 species
CGGAGGAUCCAAGCGUUAUCCGGAUUUAUUGGGUUUAAAGGGUGCGUAGGCGGCUUUUUAAGUCAGGGUGAAAGCUUGCGGCUCAACCGUAAGCUUGCCUUUGAUACUGAGGAGCUUGAAUACACUUGAGGUAGGCGGAAUGUGACAAGUAGCGGUGAAAUGCAUAGAUAUGUCACAGAACACCAAUUGCGAAGGCAGCUUACUAAAGUGAGAUUGACGCUGAGGCACGAAAGCGUGGGAUCAAACAGGAUU